AGCAAUCGCCGAAGACAGCAGGCGCCGUAAGGCAUAAUCAUCGCAGCCUGCCGAGGGAACAGCGAAUCUGCUGGAUUCGUUCGAAAGAAAUUUUCCUCUCUGUCUCAGGGCAGAGAGGUUUUUUUAUU
rnacentral:sRNA from 1 species